GUCGAGAAUUUUGGGCAAUGGACGAAAGUCUGACCCAGCAAUGCCGCGUGCGGGAUGAAGGUCUUCGGAUUGUAAACCGCUGUCGAGGGGGACGAAAUAUGACGGUACCCCUGGAGGAAGCCACGGCUAACUACGUGCCAGCAGCCGCGGUAAUACGUAGGUGGCGAGCGUUGUUCGGAUUUAUUGGGCGUAAAGGGUCCGCAGGGGGUUGAUUAAGUCUGACGUGAAAUCUCUGAGCUCAACUCAGAAAUUGCGUUGGAGACUGGUUGACUAGAGUGUUGGAGAGGUAAUUGGAAUUCCAGGUGUAGCGGUGGAAUGCGUAGAUAUCUGGAAGAACAUCGAAAGCGAAGGCAGAUUACUGGACAACAACUGACCCUCAGGGACGAAAGCAUGGGGAGCAAACAGGAUUAGAAACCCCGGUAGUCC
rnacentral:rRNA from 1 species